rfam:Camelus ferus unplaced genomic scaffold scaffold1443, whole genome shotgun sequence.
GAGGGUAUAACUCAAAUGGGAGAGCACAUACUUAGCAUGUACGAGGCCCUGGGUUCAAUCCCCAGUACCUCUU